CCUACGGGGGGCAGCAGUGGGGAAUAUUGCACAAUGGGCGCAAGCCUGAUGCAGCCAUGCCGCGUGUAUGAAGAAGGCCUUCGGGUUGUAAAGUACUUUCAGCGAGGAGGCGUUACUCGCAGAAGAAGCACCGGCUAACUCCGUGCCAGCAGCCCGGUAAUACGGAGGGUGCAAGCGUUAAUCGGAAUUACGGGCGUAAAGCGCACGCAGGCGGUCUGUAAGUCGGAUGUGAAAUCCCCGGGCUCAACCUGGGAACUGCAUCCGAAACUGCAGGCUAGAGUCUUGUAGAGGGGGGUAGAAUUCCAGGUGUAGCGGUGAAAUGCGUAGAGAUCUGGAGGAAUACCGGUGGCGAAGGCGGCCCCCUGGACAAAACUGACGCUCAGGUGCGAAAGCGUGGGGAGCAAACAGGAUUAGAUACCCGUGUAGUC
rnacentral:rRNA from 1 species